rnacentral:rRNA from 1 species
UCGGUAAUUCCAGCUCCAAUAGCGUAUAUUAAAGUUGUUGCAGUUAAAACGCUCGUAGUCGGAUUUCGGGGCGGGCCGACCGGUCUGCCGAUGGGUAUGCACUGGCCGGCGCGUCCUUCCUUCCGGAAACCGCGCCUUCUCUUGACUGAGCGGGUGCGGGAGACGGAUCGUUUACUUUGAAAAAAUCAGAGUGUUUCAAGCAGGCAGCUCGCUCUUGCAUGGAUUAGCAUGGGAUAAUGAAAUAGGACUUUGGUGCUAUUUUGUUGGUUUCGAACACCGAAGUAAUGAUGAACAGGGACAGUCGGGGGCACUCGUAUUCCGCCGAGAGAGGUGAAAUUCUCAGACCAGCGGAAGACGAACCACUGCGAAAGCAUUUGCCAGGGAUGUUUUCACUGAUCAAGAACGAAAGUUAGGGGAUCGAAGACGAUCAGAUACCGUCGUAGUCUUAACCAUAAACCAUGCCAACUAGGGAUGGGGAGAUGUUCUAUCUUGACUCUCUCCGCACCUUUCGGGAAACUAAAGUCUUUGGGUUCCGGGGGGAGUAUGGUCGCAAGGCUGAAACUUAAAGGAAUUGACGGAAGGGCACCACCAGGAGUGGAGCCUGCGGCUUAAUUUGACUCAACACGGGA